AUGAAAAGAGCACUCGGAUGUGGGGAAGUAUUGUGGCCAAAAUGGGUGACCAAGGAAGGAUGGCAGGUUAUAAAAAAACGUUUAAAUGCGAGACCUCGUGGAGCUAAUUUUACUGUUCAACAGCUAAAAUAUAGGAAGCAAAGAGUGAAGAAGGAACUGAAUAUCCUCAUGUCUAUUGUAGAAAAGAGUGGAUUUGGUUAUGAUCCCAAGAACAAAGUUUCAAUGGAUAUAGAUGAAAAAUGA
rnacentral:rRNA from 1 species